UUUUUUUUUUUUUUUGGUUUCAUCCUUUGGGUCCAUAGCGUUGACAGGUCCUGCUUCGUUUGGCUGUAGAUUACAAAUCUAAUUGCUUUAGGGUUUUGUCUUUUUGCCGAUUUUGGGGAUGGUUGAUCUUUCAAUUGAAUCCUCAAUCUGAUUGCUGACAUUAGAAUGUUCAUUCCAGUUUUGUCUUAAUUCCCAUCUAGUUGGUGAAAGGGUUUAGAUUUUGCUUGAAAUUUAUGCUUCAGAUGCGUUGAAGUUGUACUGUUUAUAAUUCUGUGUUGUACUUGGAUUCAAAGUUGUUGCCUUUACAUGUCAUAUAUCUGUUUUGGCUAUUUCAUGCCUCACCAUUGAAUCCUUCGUUUCAGGCCAAUCAACCAUUUACGAGAGCUAUCUUUCAGGCCUGAGUUCACUUAAAGGGUCCCUGCUUGGUUUGCUUAUGAGACUGACUAUUGUUUGUGGAGUUGAAUAAUAUCUGCAAAUGUCAAGUCUUCUUAAUGUACUGCAACAUAUCCUUUAUAUCAAUGUGUUGCAGUAUUACUAAUCUAGCUUCUAGGAUUUAUUCAUGUCUAUCAUUCCUCUGACUAGUGGUAGUUCCAGUCCUCAAAUUUAUCAGACUGUUCAGGGAGAACGUUUAUUUUUAGAAAAUAAUGCAAAAAUGACCCCUUUCUUUGGCUCUCCCUCUCAAUUUUCAUUUUUGAUUCUCAUUUGCAGAUAUAUCACUGUAGCUCUCUUGGAUACUCAGGACUCUCUAGUAGGGGAGGUAUAACUGUUGGAAACUGUAGAUGGGUCUGGCACAGCGGUGGAGUCAGGUUGUCGUUUCCAAGAGUUGAGUCUUCAUCCAUGAGUAUAAACAUUGCAAUGGGUUGUACGUUUCAGCAUGGGAGAGCAAAAAGCUUAAGUCAGGAAAACGUAGUGGAGUUAUCUGAUGAAAACGAUGAUCUAUGUCCUGUGGAGUGUGUCACUGAGUUCAAGACCGAUGAUGAAUUGCUUAGAGUCCUUGAAAAGUCGAAAGAAACUAAUUCUCUGGUCGUGGUUGAUUUUUAUCGCACUGCUUGUGGGAGUUGUACAUACAUAGAGCAGGGCUUCUCAAAAGUGUGCAAGCAAUCUGGUGACCAAGAAGCUCCUGUUAUCUUCCUUAAGCAUAAUGUGAGUAUUUGAUUUCUCAUCUUCGAUUCAAACAAGCGAGAAGUAGUGAAAAAGUCCAUUAAUAGCUCAAAUGCUAUUUGCAGGUGGUAGAUGAAUAUGAUGAACAAUCUGAAGUCGCAGAAAGGCUCCGUAUCAAGUAAUCCCUCUUUAGAAUUUUGGUCGCUAACAACACUAAAAAAAACGAAUCGUGAGUUUGAUAUACUACAAUCUUGCAGAUUAAUAAGUCCGAGAUAGAGCAUGGUUAAAAGUGUUCUGAGGGGCUGCUCACAUGAAGUCUUUCAAGCUUGAAUCAAGGUGGAGAAUGUUGAAGUAUGAUCCAACCUUGAGACUCAUUUAGCAUGUUGGAGAGAGCUAAGUCAGAACGUUUUGAAAGAAGAUUAAGAAGAAGCUACUGGUGGAAAGAGAGGGUCUCAAGUCAUAGAAUAAAGAGUCACGUGAGUGGAGGUGAGAAGAAACGACACGAUGCCGUUUUAGCUCUAUAAGAGAGACUCAAAGCUUCUUCUUCACAUACAGUACCAGACGAGAAGAUUCAAGAUUCUUAUUCUCAAUUUUCUGGGUUUCUUGGUGAGAGUUAGAGAGAGAGAGAAGUGAGAGAGAGUAAUUCUCAGGUCCUUCUUGUUCUUUAUCUUCUUAUUCUUCGUCUUCUUAGAUAGAGAGAGUUAGUGUGAGGGAUCUCCAUUGAAGAGCACCAUUGUAACCUCUUGAAACAUUGGAUAGUGGAUUCGGCUUGUGAGGAGCAAUACCUCACCGAGACGUACCUCAAAGUUGCGGUUUGCAACAGAGGGAACUCGUAAAUCUCUUGUGUCCUUAGUUUAUGUUUUAUCACGUAAUCGCAAUAAUCGAAGAAAGCAAAUCAGUGUGAAAUUGAGUCUGAUUUCCAACAGUGAUGUUGGUUAUUCAAAAUCUGGGUUUUGGUUAUUCAUAAUUGUUGUUAUUAACUUGAUUAAACAAGAACAGAGGUAUUGUUUAUGAACAAAGGUUUGUUCUUUCAUUGAAUCUGUCGGCUUUAUGAUGAAAAGUGUUGUUUAUGAAGAUUUUUUCAAAUUCGAUUUGGGUUUUCUCAGUUUGUUGUGAUUUUUUGAUUGAUUGUGGUCUUGAGAGUUUCUUAAUUUUGAUAUCAUAAUUAAGAAUUUUCUUUUGAAUGAUUUGAAGGUUUCUCUUGAGGAUUGUACCUUGAACAAUGAAGAAGCUUUCACUUUCUAGGAAUGCUCUCUGCUCAAAGUGUAACGGUUAGUACAUUCGUUCACUCGACGUCAUUCUUUUAAUACGUUUUUCGGUGUAGCUUUGAAUUAGCUGAAGCUUGAACUUUAUUUUGAUGGCCUAAACUGGUGGUUCUAUGAGCAACAUGCCACACUUUGAACCUUAUACAUGAUUCUUCAGUUUUUAAAUUUGACAAUUAAGUCGUAGAUUUGGAUUUUGCUCUAUAAUGGUAUUGGUUGGUUUGUUCUGUUUUCAUCUAUCUAAUGAUACUUACAUUGUGGACUGCUGGAUUCAGCCAAAGCUACUUACUUGAUUUGAAUCUAGAAUGAAAUUAGGAUUAGCUUCUGAUUGUAAACUAUGUUUGUUAGUGGUAUUGCAGUGUUCUCUCUCUUUUGAUCUAAUCUUUAGCUCGUUCUUGAAUUCUAUAAUGGUUUUAGGAUUGAAAAAGUUGUGUGUAUGGAGAUAAUUGCCUCUAAAAUGUCUUAUUCUCUAAAUUGCCGCUUAUUAUUUUUACAGAAGUUUAGAAAUUGCCGCUGUUUUUUUAGAAAAUUUGUUUAGCGAAUAUAUCCCAUUAAUUUCGGUUGGUUUUACCACAACUAUUAAUACCCAUAACCUCUUAUGUUAACCCUAAUUUUUAUUUAGCGAUCCCCACUCCACAGGUUCUUUACUACUCUUCACGUCUCACCACCGUAACUCUUCUUUUCUACAGGUAAUUUUAUUACUUUUUUGAUCAUAAAACUGGCUUUGUUGAUGAAUUUUCUUGUUAAUUUCGAACUUUGUAACUGAGUUUCUUUAUCUAUUUCAUGAACUCAUGUAGACAUGGGGACUUGGGAUGACUAUAUGGCUUAUAGACGAAGGAUGGACCAAAACCUAUUGGGAUCGAGUUCUCAACAGAUGAGUGACUCCCCUACAGAUGCUGGAGAACCGUCUAGAGUACCUGAGACGCCUACAAAUGGACAAAGCUCAACGGAUCCAGCAGAUUUAUUGACUCUGGACCAAUUGCUUCGAUCUGCAGGCCGUGCAAGCCUAAAAAAACUUGAUCCGAGAAGAAUGAAUGGUGAUGGAUGGUAAAUUCCACUUAAACUUCUGUUUUAAUUCUGUAACUUUAUUCUCUGAGUUUUUGUUCUCUUAGUAAGAUUAGAGAAAAAAUGUGGUCCGUGAAUGACUUGAAUGUGUUGUCAUGAUAGAUUAGUUUAUGUUGAAUUAGAAGUCAACGAAACCUAACAUGGCUUUUUUUUUUCUUAAUCUAAGAUAGUAGAUUCAUUACAGCCGAGUUUGAUUAUUCUAUGUGCAAACACUAUGUCUAAGCCACUUAAUUAGUUACAAAGUUUACACUAUGUCUAAGCCACAUAAACAGAGCUAUUAGAACAAGCGUAUCAUUGAUUUAUAUUUAUGAUCAUUAGCGUUGAUUUCCUGUUUAUAUAACUACUCUUAUAUUUAUUAACAUACAAGGUUUGAAUACACCAAGGGGAUUACUAAGGCUGUGAAAAAAAUUGUGGAGAGCGAUUUCAAAGAAGUGGCUCCUAAUUGGUCAACACUCUCAAGCGAUACCAAGUUACGUUGGUUCAAAGCAUUUGCGGUAUGUUUUUUCAAUAUUUGUUUUGUCAAAGUCUUUAUAAUUAGUGUUACUAUUUAGACAUUGUUAUCUAUUUGAUUUUCAUUCUUUUUAUUUGAUCUUGUAGCAAAAGUAUAAUUGGUGUUAUGAGAUAACAACACUUGUUCAACAUGAGUUUGAGACUUUGUGUGCAUCUCGUUUGCUGGGAUAUGUCCAUGAAUGGAGAAAGGCAUGGAAGCAAGACAAGGGGAAGCCCCAAUGGAUGUUAAACUCUGUUUGGAUUGGUCUUAUUGCUUUCUGGGAAAACGAGAAAAGCAUCAAGAGAAGCAAAACCAACUCCAAAAAUAAGAAGAGCGAUCGUGGUGGCUUAGGGAUAGCUAAGCACACAUGUGGGUCAAUGCCAUAUGUCCGGAGAAGAGAAGAGAUGGUAAUUUGUUUUAUUUUUUGCAUUCGAUAUAGUUUCUAUCAAAUUCAGUCCAAGUUUUCUAUAAUGACAUAUUUGUGUGUUUCAAAACUGUUUAGCGUGAUAAGGUGACAGGAGAGCUCCCAGAUAUGGUUACUUUUAUGGAAGCAACCCAUAAGAGAAAGUCUGAUGGUGUAUUUGUGUGCAAAAAAGCUGAGUUGAUCGCCAAAAAAUGUCGAAACAUGGAGCACCAAAUUCUUAGUCAAAGAGACAAUGAUGAUGGUGACACUUUGGACACUAACCAUCUUACACAAGAAGAAAUUGAUGCCAUUUACCAAGGGGUAAAAUGCUGAAACUUCUAUUAUUUUUUUAAUUAUACUUCAUGUGUUUUUUUUUUAACCAUACUUUAUGUUUUUAAUACUUUUUUCUUAUGUGAAUUGUAACAUGCAAUUUUGAAAUUCCAGGAAGUUCAAGUGAAGAAAGGCAAGAAAUUUGGCUAUGGUUCAAUUCCGGAAGCUGAUCCUAGUGUUGAUGCAUCUCCAAAUUAUGAAGAAAUGUAUCUUGAGACUCAAGAAAAGCUCCAGAAAUCGGACCAAGUGAUUGAGGGAAUGCUGCUGAAGUUUAAAGAUGUUGAUUUUUGGAUUACUAUGAUGCAGAACAAGUUUCCAAAUGAAGUUCCACUUUCCAUGAUAACAACAAUGAACACCAAUGGUGGUCUUUGAAUUCAAUUAGUAAUUUGGUUUCAUUAAGACUUUAAGCAUUUAGGAUUGUUUUUCAAUAUUAUGUUUGGAUGUUUAAGUGUUUUGAGAUUUUAAAAUGUUUACUUAUUAUGAUUUUUAAUUUUAUUAUUUAUUUUUAUUUCUAUUUAUUUCUUAAUUUUAUAAUAUUUUUUUAUUAAAAAUUACCUAAAAAAUAUAUUCCAACAAAAAGUUGAUAAAUGGUUCAUGAGACAUUUUGUUGGAAACUUAGUAGAAUAUAUCAACAUAUUUUCAACGAUUAAUUUCUGAUAAAAUUCCAACAAUUAAAUCAUCAGAAGUUUUUCACAAAUUUACAAGAAAAAUAGCAAUAAAUUUUCAACAAUUAAAUUAUCAAUAAAUUUCUAUGAAGUUCCAACAAAUAAGGCGUCGGAAAUUUCUCACACGUUUCCAAGAAAACAUUUCAACAAAGUUGCAACAAAUAUGUUAUUAGUAGUUUCCCAUAAACAAACUUUCAGAAUUGUUGAAUAUUUGUGAUAAAUUAUCAAUGACAUUCCAACAAAAUAUAUGUUAGAACAUUUCGUUAGAAACUUCACGGUAAAUUCCAACAAAUAUCCAACAAAAAUAUUAUCAGAACUAUCCAACAAAUUGGUCAUAGAAUAACUCGAUGGAAACAUUUCCAAUAAAUUCGUGACAAAUGUAGAUUUUCAACGAUCAUAUUCUAACAAAUAUAUGUUCUAUUGAAAAUUUAUUGGAAACAUAUAAUUCCUACAAAUUAACAACAUAGAUGGCUGUUGGAAUUUAGCUUUUUUCUUGUAGUGUGUUGGUUAAGUUUUUUGUUUACUUAAUUAUGUAUAUAUGUAUUAUUAUUUGAUCCGAUUGUCUUCUUUGCUUAAUUAUGUGCAGGAACUCCUCUGAAAUCUAGUGGUGUCGGCAAAGAAGAAAAGGAAAGGAAUCUGGUUCUCUGUUGCUUUAAUGUAGGGUUGUAUUGCUUUAUUUUAUUCGAAUUUACUAAACCAUUUUAUGUGGUCACAAUAUUAUUGGUACUUUAUUUUUUGUGGUCACAAUGUAUUUGUGUACUUUAUGACUUUGUUGUAUUGUCACAAUUUCUCUUAUAUAUAUAUAUAUAUAUAUAUAUAUAUAUAUAUAUAUAUAAGUUUUGUUUGUGUUCAAUACAAAACAUACUUCUCAUAUUUCUAUUACAAAACUCUUCUCAUAUUUCUCAAUCUCCUCUCAAUACAAAUUUGUCAAUCUUCUUCCUAGUACUAAAAUUUGUCAAUUUCCUCUCAUUACAAAUUUAUUUGUCAAUUACCAUUACCAUUACCAAAACUUAUAAUUUCUCAAUCUCGUCAAUUACCGUUACCAUUACCAAAUCUCUUUUAAUUGUUUUCUUCUCAAAAUUUCUUGUACCUUUUAUUCUUCUAAAUUUCUCUAAUUUCUUCUAACUUUCUUGGACGUUUUCUUCUUCUAAAUUUUUUCUUGUAGGUUGCUUUUUAUUUUUUUUAAUUUCUUGUGUAAACAGAGUUUGAAUUUUUUUAUGAGUUUCUUUUAAGUUUCCUCUUCUGAAUUUAUGUUAACUAUUUAUAACUAAACUUAUAAUUUAAGUAUUCAAAAAAAUAUCUUUGUUUAAGUUUUCCUUCUGAAAAAACAAAUAAUGGCAUCUCAUUCUAAUGAUGAUGACACUUUUGAUGAUAUUAUGGAGGAAAGGUUUGAAAAAUGUUUUAAAGAUGGUUUAGAUAAUUACAGUAGACGUGUAGCGGAAAAAAAAGAGAAAAAAAGCUGCUAAUAUAGAAAGAGAAGGAAAUGUUCUAUUAUGGAACGAUUACUUUUCGGAUGAUCCCGUUUACCAUAAUUCCAUGUUCUGACGACGAUUUAGAAUGAGCAAUCCGUUGUUCGUUCGUAUUGUUCAAAGUCUUUGUCAAUUUUCAUAUUUCCAACAAAGGGGGGAUGCUUCUGGAAAGCAAGGUCUAUCUUCCCUACAGAAAUGUAGAGCCGUAAUUCGACGUCUGGAAUAUGGUCUUGCAAACGAUGUGAUGGACGAAUACCUCUGCCUGGGGACAACCAUUGUGAGCUAAGCCCUAGAGCAUUUUGUAGAUGACAUAAUAAAUUUAUUCCAAAAUGAGUAUUUGUGGAGGCCUAAACUUGAGGAUCUCCAACGAUUACUCCAUUCUAGAAAGGAACGCGGAUUUCCGGAGAUGGUAGGAAGCAUUAAUUGUAUGCAUUGGGAGUGGAAGAAUUGUUCUACGGCUUAGAAAGGCCAGUAUUCACGCGGACAUGGAAAACCCACUAUCGUUUUAGAGGCCAUGGCAUCACAAGAUCUAUGGAUUUGACAUGCUUUUUUUGGGGCUCUGGGUACAUGCAAUGAUAUAAAUGUUCUUGACCGCUCACCGGUGUUUGAUGAUAUAUUAGAAGGUCGAGCUCCACGAAUCAGUUACGAAGUCAAUGGACAUUAAUACAAAAUAGCUUAUUACCUCACAUAUGGUAUAUAUCCGAAGUGGGCAACAUUCAUCCAAUCAAUUCUCCGAUCACAAGGACCGAAAGCAUCAUUAUUUGCUAGUUGUCAAGAAGCAGUGAGAAAAGAUGUCGAGCGUGCUUUUGGAGUCUUGCAGGUUCAGUUUGCUAUUGUUCGAAACCCAGCUCUAUUUUGGGAUAAAGAGCGAAAGGCAAGAUAAUGAGAGCAUGUACCAUAUUGCACAAUAUGAUUGUAGAAGAUGAAUGAGACCAAGAGACUCAGUUCGAUUUAUCUGAUUUUGUACAAGACGAAGGGAGCGGGACUUCUUAUGUGAACUACUCUUUUUCUACAAAGAUAUCUACAUAUGUGAACAAUAUGAUGGCCAAUCGAGCUCAAAUUCGUCAAGAAAAAAUGCAUCGCAAUUGAAAGAAGAUUUGAUUGAGCAUAUUUGGCAAAAAUGGGGCCUAAGGUAAUUGACUCGUGGCGACUAAAUUAUCUUUAUUGUUGGGGUCGGAUCCCACACAUCUUCGGUAGGAUCCACUUGGAUCUGUCCACGUCAUUAUUACAUAAUAAUCCUCUUGGAAUUAAAAAUAUUUUAUUAUAAGAAUCGAGCUUAACCAGUCGGGAGUUCGGUUCGGUCCAGUAGAAGAGCUCGAUCCUUGCCAAUAUGGAGUUAGCUCUUAUUCGACAGACAGUUCGCAUAGAGAAAGGCCGAAGCGAGGAGAAUAUUGUUUGAGGCUCGCGGUAGCAUCAAGACGCGGGAGUUCGGAGUCAGCAAGAAAGAGUUCGGAAGAUCCACGCGAAGCCCAAGAUAGUUCAAAUUCAAGCCGUUUCGGUCAAAUUGUAACGUACAAGAUUAAUGCGGAUCAAUGCGAUUAUGAGCAGUAAAUGACCGCAUUGAUCAUGUUUUCUCUAUAAAAACAACUUCAAACGCAUGUGUUUGGAGGAGGAAUCUUUUGACUGAUUACUUCUAAGCAAUACAAUAUACUUUCUUUCUUUAUUACUUUCGCAAGGCAUUUUGUACUUCGUUCUUGUCAAAUUUCUUUACUUCCUUUCUUGGUUAUUUUCCCUUUCGAAUUCUUAUAUUCAUUUUUGCUGAUUUUACAAGAGUUUUUCUCCACUGAAAUACUUAAAGACAAUCGAGUGUGAAUCCUACAUCCACAUGUUGGCGCCGUUUGUGGGGAGCUACCACAAAACUCUUUGAUCACAAAAUCUUUCUUUCCCAAACCAAGAAACUAUGGUUGAGCAGCCAGCAUUGAGCGAUGCAAUCGCCUUGCUCUCUUCCGAGUUAACAAUUAUAUGGAGGCGGAGGAAGAAAAACUUAGUCUCGCUAAGAAGCAUCGGCCACCUAAAUUAGUCGUCGCAAAUCCAACACAAAAGUUCGAACUUAAAGAUCAAAAAAGGUUCGGAGUUAAUCCUGCUACUAAUGCUGUAGGGAAACCCUCCCCAAGUAGAGGAAGACACAAUCCUCCUAAUACUUGGGUUAGAGAUGAAAGUGCCUAUUGCGAUAUUCACAGAGUAAACGGGCACUCCACCAAAGAUUGUAGCGUACUCAAAAAGCACUUCACCGAACUGUGGACAGCUGAAGAGCUCGCUAAUUUCAAUAUAGAGGAAUUUGUUGAGUCUUAUCACAAAGAAAAAGAAGAAUACGAAUCUUCUAAUCCUCCUGAAAAGAAACAUAAGCCCAAUGGGCCUGGAACUCCGAACACUCCUAAGAAAAGGAUCGAUGUUAUAAUGGGAGGAUCCAAAUUAUGCCGAGAUUCGAUCAGAUCAAUCAAAAGGCAUAAGAAAUCAGCAGCAAUUCAAACUGCUAUGGGUUUUUAGUCAAAUGAACAAAUACCUUCUAUCUCUUUUGACAAUUCGGACACUCAAAGAGUAACAGGGCCUCAUGACGAUGCUCUUGUGAUAACCUUAGAUGUUGCGAACUUCGAAGUGACAAGGUAUCUAAUUGAUACUGGAAGUCGGUAGAUCUCAUAUUUCUGAGCACUUUGCAAAGAAUGGGAAUCAGUAAAGCCGACAUUAUUGGUCCACAGGCACCAUUAGUAGCUUUCACGAGUGACACAUCCAUGUCCUUAGGAAACAUAAAACUACCAGUGCUCGCCGCAGGUGUUCCAAAAAUUGUAGAAUUUAUUGUUUUCGACCGACCGGCCGCUUAUAACAUAAUUCUCGGAACUCCAUGGAUAUACCAAAUGAUGGCCAUUCCUUCAACUUAUCACCAAUGUGUGAAAUUUCCGACUCCCGGAGGAAUCGGAACCAUUCGAGGAGAUAAGGAAACGUCGCAUUCUUGCUACCUCAUGGGACAUCGUUUAAAGCUCAAAUAACAAUUAAUGAUAAAUGCGAAGCAAAAAAACACCUCCCGUUACCCAAGUGGUCUCAGUUCGAAUGAAGUUACCACAAAAGUUGAAAUUGAUUCCGAAUUUCCAGAUCGAAAAGUAAAAAUCGGUACUACUUUAGAUUCAGAAAUCAAAAAUCAAUUGUUAACAUUUCUAAAAGAAAAUAAACAUACUUUUGCCUGGUCGGCAAAAGAUAUGCCCGGAAUCGACAAAAGUAUCAUUACCCAUGAUUUAAACGUCGAUCCCAGUUUUAAGCCAAUAAAGCAAAAAAGAAGAAAACUGGAUCCUGACCGAGCUCAAGCGGUCAAUGACGAAGUCGAUAAUCUUUUGAAACUUGGUUCUAUUAGAGAAGUAAAGUACCCGGAUUGGUUAGCGAACCCCGUGGUAGUCAAAAAGAAAAAUGGAAAGUGGAGAGUAUGUGUCGAUUUCACCGACAUUAACAAAGCAUGUCCGAAAGACAGCUUUCCUCUCCCUCAUAUUGAUCGGCUUGUAGAAUCAACAGCCGGAAACGAACUCUUGCCAUUCAUGGAUGAAUUUUCUGAAUAUAAUCAGAUCAUGAUGAAUCCCGAAGACGAAGAGAAAACGUCCUUCAUAACAGAUAGAGGAAUCUACUGUUACAAAGUUAUGCCAUUCGGUCUAAAGAUGCCGGGGCAACAUACCAGCGUUUAGUUAACAAAAUGUUCGCGCAACAUUUGGGCCAAAGGAUGGAAGUUUAUAUUGAUGAUAUGCUCGUGAAAUCUCUUAAGAAAUCCGAGCACAUCACUCAUCUUGAGAAAUGUUUCAAAAUUUUGAAUGAAACUAAAUCCAGCUAAAUGUUCUUUUGGUGUUCCUUCCGGAGAAUUCCUAGGUUAUAUAGUCACGGAAAGAGGAAUAGAAUCAAAUCCCAAUCAGAUUAACGCUUUCCUCACAAUGCCUUCACCAAAAAACAUUAAAUAGGUCUAGCGAUUGACGGGCAGAAUUGCUGCGUUGAAUCGUUUCAUCUCGAAAUCCACCGAUAAAUGUCUCCCUUCUUAUCAAAUUUUAAAAGGAAAUAAGAAAUUUCGGUGGGAUGAUCAAUGCGAAGCAACUUUUGAUCAACUCAAAACUUAUUUAACAACACCACCGGUUCUCUCAAAACCCGAGUCAGAUGAGAAAUUUUAUCUUUACAUCUCGGUUUCUAAUCAUUCCGUAAGUGGGGUCUUAGUUCGAGAGGAUCGAGGUGAUCAAAAGCUGAUUUUUUACAAAAGUAAAUCUCUUACCAGUCCGGAAACGAGAUAUACAAUGAUGGAAAAAUUAGCUUUAGCAGUGGUCGUAUCCGCUAGGAAACUCACACCAUAUUUCCAAUCUCAUCCGAUAAAAGUCUUAACUUCUCAUCCACUUCGCUCAAUUCUUCACAGACCAAGUCAGUCCGGUAGAUUUGCGAAAUGGGCUAUCGAACUCAGUGAGUACGAUAUAGAAUAUAAAAGUCGAACUAGUGCAAAAGCACAAGUUCUGGCUGAUUUUCUAACCGAACUGCCGUUAGAUUAUGGAACCUUUAUCGAAACAGAUUCUACAUGGAAAUUACAUGUAGAUGGCUCUUUUUCUAAACAGGGAUCCGGAAUCGGUAUUUGGCUUGAAACUCCGACAAAAGAAAUAAUCGAACAAUCAUUUCGAUUAAUGUUCCCGGCCUCGAACAACGAGGCGGAAUACGAAGCUCCCUUAGCAGGACUUCGGCUUGGUCUUGCAAUAGCAGAAAAAAUAAUAGCUUACUGUGAUUCUCAGCUAGUUGUAAACCAGUUCGCUGGAGAUUACGAAGCUAAGGCACCUCGAAUGGAAGCCUACCUUUCAGCCGUCAAAAAGUUAGCUGGAAGAUUCAAAGAAUUCGAAUUAGUUCGAAUACCUCGAGGCGAGAACACUUCGGCAGACGCUUUCGCUGCCCAAGUUUCUACCUCAGAUCCCGAACUUAAGCGAGUGAUUCCAGUUGAAUGUAUUACUUCACGAAGUAUUUCGGAUGAAGAUAAUGUUUUGGAGGUCGAGCAUAUCGAAACUCCAGAAUUAAAUAUCGAUAGCAAGAACAGUUCGCUUGUUGUCACUAGAUAUCGAGCAAAGUCUCAAGAUGUCGAGCUUACUCCACAAACAGAACUUCCUAAAAGAAAGCCGAGAAGAAAAAUAAAAGAUCAAGAGGUUCCCAUUAAAGAACCAUCUCGAGCUGAACAGUCACUUCCGGAUAUCACAAAUAAUGAAGAAGUUCUGGUAAAUGAUCCUGAUAUUCCUUCCGAGUCAGAACCAAGGAAGUUUAUACUCAAGGAUAAUACCUCCGCUAAUGAUUGGGAGGCUGACUGGAGUGUACCCAUCAAAAAUUUCAUUCUUAAUGGAGAACUACCAUCAAAUAAAUGACAAGCUCGCAAAUUAAGAAUCAUCAGCGCUAAGUAUUGUAUAAUUAAAGAGUCAUUGUACAAGCGAGGCGUCAGUGAUCCUUAUCUAUUAUGUAUUUUCGGGCCCGAAGUUGAAAUAGUGACAAGCGAGGUCCACGAAGGGCUUUACGAUAGUCAUUCUUCGGGACGAGCAAUGGCUUUCAAAAUCAAACGACUAGGAUAUUUCUGGCCAACUAUGAUUUCUGAUUGCAUCGAUUAUGCCAAAAGGUGUAAAAAGUGUCAAAUGCACGCUCCUCUUAUUCACCAGCCAUCUGAAUUUCUAUUAUCUAUAUCCGCUCCAUACCCUUUCAUGAGAUGGUCAAUGGAUAUAGUUGGCCCGAUGCAUCGCUCAACGCGAGGCGUCCAAUACUUAUUAGUUUUAACGGACUAUUUUUCCAAAUGGAUCGAAGCUGAAGCUUACGUAAAUAUACAAGAUUAUGUGGUAAAGACAUUCUUGUGGAAACACAUUAUUUAUCGCCAUGGAGUUCCUUACAAAAUAGUAACGGACAAUGGUCCACAGUUCAUUUCAAAUGAAUUUGAAGAUUUUUGUUCCUCUUGGGGGAUAAAACUUAGCUAUUCAACGCCGAGGUAUCCUCAAGGGAAUGGGCAAGCGGAAGCUUCCAAUAAAACUAUUCUCAGCAAUCUUAAGAAACGUCUGAAUGCUCGAAAAGGUGGUUGGUAUGAUGAGCUGCAACCUGUGUUAUGGGCAUAUCGAACAACCUUGAGACGAGCAACGGGAGAAACUCCCUUCUCAUUAGUUUAUGGGAUGGAAGUAGUAGUCCUGGCCGAGUUGAAUGUUGCCGGUUUACGCCGGAGCGAAGCUCCACUUAACGAAGAACUAAACUCUAAAUCAUUAGAAGACGUUCUCGAUACAAUCGAUGAAAGGCGAGACCAAUCCCUUAUUCGACUUCAGAACUAUCAACAGUUGACCGCUCGAUACUAUAAUUCAAAGUUGAAAAAACAGACCUUUAAAUGUAGGAGACUUUGUUUUAAGGCGAGUGUUCGAUAACAAAAAAGAAGAAGGAGCUGAAAAACUCGGUAUUAACUGGGAAGGCCCUUAUCAAAUCACAGAAAAAUCCGAAAUGGUGUAUACCGUUUAAUAGACCUUGACGGAAAUCCCGUUCAAAGGCCUUGGAACAUCAUCAACUUGAAAAAGUUCUAUUGCUAAAGCAAACAUAUUGAACUACGAUUUGGUUUGAUCCUAUUUUGGGUAUGUAGGCAGCUCGCUAAACACGAGUCCAGCUAUAAUCAUAAAAAUAAAAAUAUAAUUCCAAUCAUGGGAUCUUGUUUUUAUAAGUUUGAUAUUCGAGCAUAAAUAUAAAAAUACGUUGCGAACAAUGUAAGAAGAAAUAUUUUUAGCUAAAGGAAAAACCAGAUCUAGAAGGGUCUUGGAUUACGGAAUAGCUCUGCUCCUUGGCCUGCGAGGUCAACGAUGCUCAGAGUACAACCUGGCAUGUUUCCGUACUCUUGUAGGCCUAUCUCGAUCCAAUCAGAGGGAUGGGCUUCGAGGCGAUGAAGCUCGCGAGCAAUAUCGAGGCGACGCUUCUCUAGUUCCAUUCUUUUUCUUCUAAUCUCUCUUUUCUCAUCUUCGAGCUCUUUAUGCCGAGUAAUAAGCUGAGAAAACAAAACGCUUCGUUUAACAAACAACGAAAGGAGUCAGGUUACUAGGUUGAACAAUACCUUGUUAAUAAACUCUUUAGCCUUGACACGAUCUUGAGCCGAUAAUCUCCCGAUUAACACAUUUGGAACCUGAAUGCUGGUUCCCCACCCUAAUGGGCGAGACUCUUCUGGUUCGCCAUUUGCUUCUGUUUUUACAAGCUCGAUGUCUGACGUUUCCGGAAGACCACCGCUUAUCUUUUUAAACGAAUCGGAGGGAUUCUCUGAAGAACUACCUUCCUCGAACAUUUUUUUAGAAUUAUUGUUGAUUAAAUUCAAUAAUGAGCGACACUUACUUUAUAUUCGAAAUAUACUCAAUCACAUUUAAGAGGAUUAAUUGACGAUUUCCCAAAAUCUGAAAUUAUUAUCUUCGUGGAAAAUGUAAUCGGGUUAAUCACUAAUUAUAUUCCCUAGAUAUAGCGCAUUAAAUAAGAUUUGAGUAAAUCGGCAAAUUUAAGGCAAAAAGGGAAAUAUAAUUAAUAUUGAUGGGCCACCAGUCCAAUAGUAUGUUACAAAAUUAAAAAAAGUUAAUUAAGAAGGAGGAGGGUUCGCAGAAGGAACUUCGUCUGAUGACGAACCGUUUUCGCGUUCGUCGGAUUCGAGGCUCCUUUGGUAGAUAUCCCAAUGCUUCAGGAACCUGAUGUGUUCUCGAAGACAGCCGGGAAUGCGGGCGAUAGAAUCAAAUCCCCUCCUCUCCUAGUUGUGAACAUCCGACUCCAAACGUCUGAUCUUCCUUUCCGUUCUAGCAAUCCGAUCCUCGAGGUUACGAUGUUUCAUUCCGAGGCGUUGCCUUUCGGAGCAGAGGGAAACGUACAUUUCCGUGAUCUGCAAAGAACAGAUACAUUACGAAUCUAUCAAGUAAAACCUUGAAACCAUGGUACUGGGUUCAAACCUGCUCCAUGAAUUCAUGGCACUCGAUCUGUUCUUCCUUAGACAUGGAAGAAAGAAAACAAAGGAAUUGCCACCCCUUGUGGAAUGAAUCCAUCCCCCGUUGGGAAAAGAGAUUCGCUUGAAGUGAAUCGUGGUGGAUUAGGAUCAGAAGGUUCGUCUUGGGGAGAAGCCAUCAAAAACAACUAAAAAGAAAAGGUUUAUUGGGAAAUUCCCAAAAUCUUACUCUCCUUAUAUAGAAAAAAUAUGUAAGGUUACUCACUUGAGUAUUUAUUGAAAAAGGAAGUUAAACGUCAAUCUAUUGAUCUGACAGUUAUGACCUUUCGAUUUUCGUGUACAUGUACAAACAAUACCUACAAAACAUAGGUUAUUCAAGUAUCACUUAACACCUAGUAGGCGAACUGAAUUUCGAACGUGAAAUUCAAGGACAGUUAAUAAAUGGUAUCAAACCUUUUUUGUCCUCUUCGAGAAAAACAAACAGUUCUCACUAAGAUUUUUCUAAUCGAACACAUUUCGAAGUAUCACGAAGUGUUCUUGUAAGCCGAGCUCUAACCUCGCAACCGAGAGACCGAGAAAAAAUUAUAAUGUUUUUUCUUUAAAAAAGGUAAGUGGGUCUGAUCAACCUAUCUCUCCUAUAAUUCUAAAGCAUGUCGGUUAGGAGGACUUUGCAAACCCUCCAGGUAAAAUCGAUGGUUUCUACCAAAAAUAAAUAUUUCUUUCUAAAGAAAUUUUGAUUAAAAACCCCCUUGGGCAAAUUAUUCAAAACAGUACUAAAAGCCCCCUUGGGCAAAAAACUCAAAAAGUAACAAACGGCCCCAUGGCCGACAAAGCAAGUUUUAUGUCUUAAAAUAAAAGGGACAUUCCCCAUAAAAAGGUGAGUACAAUCACCAUCAUUCAUUCAUAGGCGAACCGCCUCCAUCUCCUACUUGGCUUAAGACAGGAGCACCUCCGACGGGAGCAUCUUGAGCUGUGAGAACAACCUCAGGGAUAAGCGAGCUAGCAGGAUCCUGACUAGAGAACUCCUGAGUUCGUUCCGAAGAAAUUUUGUCAACAUUGGUUCUGAAAUCAUUAAAAUGAGCACUAGGGGAACCAGUUAACAUCAUUUCAUCCAAAGACAAACCGGUAUUAGGUUCGGUCAAUGGAGGGGAAUCAGCGAACUCAGAGGCAAAUUGCUGUAAAUCUAGAUAUGGCUGAGGAACGGUAGCUAGCUUAGCUUCAGUCUCAGCGAGCUCAGUGCCAACUGUCUCUUUUUCUUCGGCCAAAUUAAUUGAUCCUUCCCCUAUCUCCUUGAUUAGAUCGAGAUUGCUCUUCAGCUCAUCACGUUCGGAGUUAUGAUUGUUCCAAGCUUUAUCUGCAGAAAUAAAUUUCUGCACGGCAAGAAGGAACUUUUGCCCAACUCCUUUAACCUCUUUCCGAGCAUCAUGAGAUAUCUUGCGAACAUCCUGAUCUUUCAGUUAGGAAAGAGAUUCAUUUUUGCGUUCAAGCUCCUCAGCAGCUGUCUUGACCUUGCUAAGCUCUGAUUUCAGAAGCUCAAUCUCGCCCUUCGCGAAGUUAUGAUCAGCAAGGGCAGUUUUCAGCUUUUGCUCUGUCUCGGCCAAAAUCUUCCUUGUCUCCUCGCCAGAUUUUUCGAGUUGCUCGAUUUCUUUCUGACGAGCUGAGUCAAGACCAGCCGUCUCCUUCGCAAGCUGGUUGGAAAUUUGGAGUUUCUCAAUCUCUCCUUCGGCAAUAGUAGCUCUCUUGGAAACUUUGGUAAACUCCUCCUCGUAAUGGUUGAUGAUGCUGUUCACAUCCAGGGUUGCCUGAUAAAAAGAGAUGCGAUAAGAAAAAGGAGAUUCAAAAUCAAAGGUUUACAGAUUCAAAUAAUCAAACCUGAGAGGAGUGGAAUCAAUGACUUAUAUACAUCUUCUUGAUGUCAUCCCUCCAGUGCCCGAAAGACGGAAGUUUCUUCCCAGAGCGAGUAUGGAAACAGAGCGAGUAUGGAAACAUCUUUAGAUGUUUCCAAUCUUCUCUUUAUCUAAGUGAAAAAUAUUCGUAUGAGUAUAGAAUUCCUUAAAAAAUCAGCUAAAUCUCCAGUAUCAAGAGAUUAAUUGAGGAUUACCUGAUGGAGAUGAAGCUCUGGCAACUAGUCCUGAGCUCGGAGAUGAUCGAGCUCUAGAGGUAUUACCUCGAGGACGCCUGGGGGGUAGCAUCCCUGAACUCAGUGGCUCUCUCAGGACAACUCCUAAAUCAGGAUUCCUACCCUGAAUGUCAGCAGAUUCAGGAACUGGAAGACUUGAAGAAAUAGCUUCGGCUUUCCUCGUGCUCUUGGACCUUCCCUGAAGCGGGGGUUCAGGAUCCUCAGCCUUCUUCUUCUUCGUAAAAGAGGAGCCAUCUAAGGGACCUCCUUCUUCAGCAGUGACAGCAACCAUGAUGUCUGCUGCUGGGGAUGAGGAAGGGGCAUUGUUUAUGGUGACCGCCAUUGAUUUUGAACCUUCGAGGGACCCGUCAUCAACUAGGAGAGUUUUCCGGUAGACUUUUUCGUCCCCGGCGGAGGAUGCGUUUUUCUUGUUUUUCCCAAUCUGAGAGAUCUGAUCUUUGACCUUCUUGUCCGCUUCUCUGAUCCUUCUCCUAUCUCGGGCGUUUAAACUCGAGAGAUAAAUUUCAGCAGGAGGAGGAUCGACGGAUGAGUAAGGCCCAUUCUGACGGAAUGUCCGGCACCGUAAAUUCUCUCCAAAGAAAAAGAAUUCCAACUAACUGGCCUCUCGAUGACAGCCUUGCAAAAAUUGAAGAAGUCAACAGAGGAAACUGGCCUAAUUUGGGAACCUGCGGAAAAACGAGAAAAGCGCUAACACAGUUUAAAGUAACCUGAAAAACUUAUUUAUUUAAGUCCUAGUUUCUACCCAAAUUCGAUGACCAGUGAGUUCGGAGGAGUUCGGAAGAACCCUGAACGGAAAAACUAUUUAUACGGAAGAAAAACCAAAACUUCUUCCAGGCGUUGUCUUUUAAAGGCAGGCCGUCAAUAAGGUUCCGAUCUGCGAUCGGAUAAAGGGCAUAAUACCCAGAAGAUCGGGAUUCACGAGCCUGGAAUAAUUCCAAAAGCUCGCUAAGUCCCAGCGAGUAGCCCGCCUCCGCCGCAACUGUGAAGGUACACAUAAGAUACUGGAGCAUGUUGGGCGACAUCUGAGAGAAGGCAAUUCCCAGAUGGUUGAGGUAGGUAAGAAGAAUCUCGGGAAGGGGAAGGAACAAUCCGCACCCUUUGAAAUAAAUUUCAUAGGCGCAACAAUACCCCUCUCGCCCCGAUUCUGGAGACUCGUAAGGCUCCGGUACCACCAUCUCCACUUCGGGGGGAAUGUGGCAUAAGCGACGGAGAUCAUUGAGAGAAUCGAUGGACGAUUGACUCUGGGGGUGAAGAUCAAACUCGCCUCCUGUUUGGGUUUGAGGUUCGGUUCCCUCACCCAUGAGAGCUUCGAGAUCAUCAGCCUCAUAUUCGCGGAAUUCAGAAGGGAGGUUCGACAUUUUACAGAAGGGAUUUUUACCGAAAGAAAACAACGACUUCUGUAAUGGGAAUAAAAGUUUUCUAGGUAAAGAAGAUAAGAAGGAAAAGUAAUAUUACCUCUUAGAACCCUAAAGUACGAUGGAAGACCGCCUCGAGAAUAUUGGGAAGUGGGAUAAUUUUUCCCGCAGUAUUAAUAUAAAAUUAAGAAAUUAAUGAUGACGGUUGUCAGGGAUAUCAAAUCACUUGAUUAUCUGAGAUCGGCGUAAUAGCGUAAAACAUGGAAUAAUUCCAGAGUAUUAAAGAUCUCGAUUCGUUAAUUACUGUUUACUUAAGUCUUCCAAGCCGAGCACUCAGCUCGCAAGACUUGGGGGGCUAAAUGUUGGGGUCGGAUCCCACACAUCUUCGGUAGGAUCCACUUGGAUCUGUCCACGUCAUUAUUACAUAAUAAUCCUCUUGGAAAAGAUAUUUUAUUAUAAGAAUCGAGCUUAACCAGUCGGGAGUUCGGUUCGGUCCAGUAGAAGAGCUCGAUCCUUGCCAGUAUGGAGUUCGCUCUUAUUCGACAGACAGUUCGCAUAGAGAAAGGUCGAAGCGAGGAGAAUAUUGUUCGAGGCUCGCGGUAGCGUCAAGACGCGGGAGUUCGGAGUCAGCAAGAAAGAGUUCGGAAGAUCCACGCGAAGCCCAAAAUAGUUCAAAUUCAAGCCGUUUCGGUCAAAUUGUAACGUACAUGAUUAAUGCAGAUCAAUGCGAUUAUGAGCAGUAAAUGACCGAAUUGAUCAUGUUUUCUCUAUAAAAACAACUUCAAACGCAUGUGUUUGGAGGAGGAAUCUUUUGACUGAUUACUUCUAAGCAAUACAAUAUACUUUCUUUCUUUAUUACUUUCGCAAGGCAUUUUGUACUUCGUUCUUGUCAAAUUUCUUUACUUCUUUUCUUGGUUAUUUUCCCUUUCGAAUUCUUAUAUUCAUUUUUGCUGAUUUUACAAGAGUUUUUCUCCACUGAAAUACUUAAAGACAAUCGAGUGUGAAUCCUACAUCCACAUUUAUCAUCAUGUUUUUAAUGUUUUUAUUGAAUUUUACGUAUUUUUUUGUUAAGUAUAUUCUACGUUUUUAUGGAUUGUAAUAUUACCUUUUGUAAUCUUAUGUUUUUAUAUAUUUAUUUUCGAUUUUGCAAAUAAUUUUUUUUUAUUAAUGAUACCAAUACUGGUCUCACCACUAGAAACAAAUUUACUACCAGUAUCAUAAAAAAUCUCAAAAAAUAAACAAACAUUAAAAUUAAUACUAAAAAAUACUCUAUGAGUACCAGCUAUGUGCAUGCUCUAAGAUCAAGAAAGGUGCUUGAGUUAUGUUUACAUUCAAACCCAAAGAAAAUUGAAAGAAAACGAUUUCUGACCUAGCCAUCUAGCAAGUGAUAUUUAGGAUACUUUGUAACUUGAAUUUGUGUGCAUUGUUUCUUAAUCUUUGUGAUGAUAUACCAAACACUGAUUUUGAAUUGGUUAAGUUAGAGGCUUUUACCACACUAAUCAUGAAUUAGCCUAAUUAUUAGAGUUUCAUUACCUCGAAAAUAUGUAAAUUGCAUGAUUUCUAACAUCUUGAUUGUUCACAGUUUGCUCAUUUUAGCACUUUGUUUAGUUUAGUUUUCAAUUCACAUACUAGUUUAAUUGCUUUCAUUUUUUUUUUUUAAUUGCUUUAAUUUACUCAGUGUUUUGCCCUUAUUUUACAUCUACGCUAACGUAUAAUUAGAAGUUCUAGCUAGUAGUAAACCGUAAAUCUCAUACCAUUUCAGGUCCAAAUGGUUUCGUCAUAAUUUAGUGGGUUAUGACAUUACUAUGAUUACAUACCGUGCAUAUGUGGUAAUGAGUAUUUAUGGUUAAAAUUUUAUAAAACCUGAGUAGACAAAAUCAAUCACAUUCGCAGUUAAACAGAAUCAGGAACAGAGAAAACUUGUUAUUACAUAACUUUAUUUACCUUAAAAAACUUAGUCUUAUUCAUGAUCAUUAAUGAUAACUUAGUCUUAUCCAAUAUUGGAUAACUACAUUAGCUUAAACAACUUCCACAGACUCAAGAAACAGAACUUAAAAUUUCACACAAUGAUUAGACCAAAUUAAAGUCAUUAAGCAAAAUAAGAAAGUUUGAGCUCCGAUGAAUUCCAACGCUAUACUCCGUCCUAGAGAUACAAACAAACAAACAAACAAACAAAAGACCUCACUUGCAGCUCCUUCAAGGCUCUUGGAAUUGCGGCAAACCCUUUCCACGUAUACUAAUUUUUGGCCCUUCUUGUCAAAACCCAAACUAGACCAAACUCUUUUACUCGUGCAGUUGUACCGUGUGUUCCAAUUUUAGGGUCCGAUUUGUCUCAUUUCCUCUGAUCUUGUUGUUAGCCCGAAGUAAUGUUUUGGUCUCGUGAGCUCUCAAUUGUUCUAGUGGUUUCUGAAUCUGCUCUUCUCUCCUUGAUGGGCUUUAUUAUGAUUUCUCUGGUUCGGUCUUGUGUUAUUCUUCUCCGAGUAUAAUGUUUUUCGGUUUGAGGUUUGUUUAGCUCUUUGUCUCUAUAAUCAAGACAUGAUCGAGAUAUGGUCAGUUCAUGGCUUCUAACGAGGCGUCAAUUGGUUGUGGAAUUUGACAGCGCCUUUUCUGGAAAAUCUUUGGGAUUGAGUUUCAUAAGUAUUAUGCAUCUUUUUUUUUUUUCCGAAACAGAAGUCUAGAUUCAAUCAGUUUGAAAGAUACAUGGUUUCACUAUAAAUGUUUUGUUAGCUACAUUAUAGACUCGUUUAUGUGUUUUUUUUUGUAGUUAGUUUUGUUUAUUUAUUUAUUUAUUUGGGGAGUGAGUUUGGUAAGUUGUUUCUGUUUAAUUUGGGUAUAAAAUUAUUUUUUGUUUUGUUUUUGUUUUGGAUUGUAAAUUUUUUAUUUUAUUUAUGUUCUCUUUAAUUUAGAGUUUUGUUUACCUUUUAGCAAUAUGCUUACAUGGAUUAAAUUGUUUUUUGUCGACGUAUGUAAUUUUCACUUAUGUCAUUCUUUCAUGAUAAUGAAAACUAGAUUCGGACCCGCACGUUCGUGCGGAAAUAUGUUAAUAGACUUAUUUGGUUUCAAUUUGGUUUAGAUAAAAAAAGUAAUCAGAUUUGUUUUGUUAUGAGUAAGGGCUUGAUUGGUUCUCCCGCUAGCACCUUCCUAGCGGUUGCUAGCGGUCGGUUGCGGUUGUUAGCGGUUGGUACCAAUCAUAGAAACCGCUCUGUACCGCUUCAAACCGCUCGAAAUCGCUGAAUUUCAAAAGCUCCGUCCCGCAAGCGUUUGCGGUUGCGGGCGGUAGCGGUUGGAUUUAAAAAAAAAAAAAAUCAAACGUUUACUUAUAAUUAUUAUAAAAUAUAUAAUCUUAUAUAUAUCUUUCAUCUUUGUAUCACGUUCUCAUCAGAAACCCUAAUCAAUAUUCUACAACCUUAUUUUCUCAAUGUCUUCCAUCCAAACUGAUGAAAAUCAAUUUGAAUAUUUUUUUCUUUUCAUUAUAUAUAUUGUUUUUCUUUUUGAUAGAAUAUAUGUUUCGAUUUGUUUUCUCGAAUAGAAAGUUACUUGCUUUUUGAUUGAAUUCAACGUUAUUUACAGUUUGUCCCAUUACUUGAUACAAUUUUUGGUGUUAACCCAGCAUAAAAUACUAUCUUAUUAUAAAAUUUCUUUAUUUUUGAAUAAUUAUUUAGUACUUUAUUUAUGGUUUUAAUUAUUAAGCAUGUUCAAUUUUUCUAAUAUUAUCAUAAUAAUAUCUUGGUGUUUUUAUUUCUUUUUUUUGUAAUAUUUUUUAUUUUUUUAGUCAUUUUUUAUUUAACUGCUACCGCACCCGCUGGUUUACCAGUCAUAAACCUUCCGCAAACGCAUCCAUUUUCAAAUGCUAAACCAGUCGUUCAAAACGCUUGGUAACGCUUGAAACCGCAACCGCCCGCUUCCGCAAACUUCCGCAACCGCAACCGCAACCGCUGCGUUUAAACCAGUCAAGCCCUAAGAGACAAAUACAUUAAAAUAGAGAUAAUGAGAGAAAGGUGGUAUGUCCAUUUCGAGAUAGAAAACAUGUCUCGUCCCAUAUAUGUCAGGACCUUUCUAUCUCAUAACCGUUAAAAAAAAAACUAUCCGUUUAGGAUUGUAUAUUUUAGUCCAACAGAUAAGGAAAUAGAUAUGACAUUCUGAUGAAAAACCCGUAUUUCAUGUACUUUUCGUUUGUGUAUUUAAUUUUAGUGAGAGUUUGAGAAUUGAAUUUAGCUACCUGGAAUUUCGGUUUCCGUCCCGUUACCCAUAAUUCUCGUCCCGGAUUUUAUCGAGAAUAGUUUGGAUAGUAUUUUUCAUUUUCUAAAUACCCGUUCUUGUCCCAUAUCCGAUAUUUUCUGAAUUAUAGAGAAUUAAUUUUUUGUAUAUUAAUAAUUUGAAUUUCCCGUUCAUGUCCCGUCCCUAUGUGAUAUAUCCCGAUACUUCUAAAAUUUGGUUUGGUGUAUAUUAUUAAUUAUGGUAACUAAGCUACAUUAAUAUUUCUGAUAUUUUAAUUUUCUAAUUUUAUUUAUUUAUUUGAUCAAACUAAAAUAUAUAAAUAUUUUAUUUAUUUAUUUUCAUACUAUUCAAAUUCUAAUUUAUAAGUGUCUUGUUAGAAAAUAGAAUUUAAUUUGAGAAACAAUUGUUGGCGAUGGCACAAAACGUAAAACAUACUAAAACAAUAUCAUUUUAAUACAAUAACUAGAUUUUAACCCGCGGUACACCGCGGGGCUAUACUUUAAACAAAAGUUUGAAAAUUAUCUAUAGAUAUAACCUAUUGUUUUGUUUGGUUAAAUAUACUUACAUAUGUAUAUAUUAUAUAUAUUACCCCGCGAUACUUCGGGUCGAUUUUUUAUAACAAUAAUUUUUAAAUUUUAAGUUGUAUUUUUUUGUUAAUAUUAUUUAUUUUAUUUAGUGUUUAAGAUUAUAUAACUGUAUUUGAUUGUUAAUCCUAGGAUUUCACCCGUAGUAUACCGUCCCGUAUUAAUAUCGACCCAAACCCGUCCCACCAUAUAACCCGUCCCAUGAAAUUAAACAUCAUUUUGUUAUAUUUCGUUUUAAUAAUAUUUUUAUUUAAAAACAUAUACAAUUCGAGUCAAUUUAUAAGUUUGCUUUAAAAAACAUAUAGUUGUAAUGUUUUUAUUAUAAUAAAGUAAUAAUAUAUAGAUGUUGCUUACUAUAGUUAUAAUCAAAACCAACUAAAAAUCUAAGUUUAGUGUUGAUUAUGAAUCAUAGUUACGACCAAAAAAAAAAUUAAUCAAAUACAAUUAGUGUAAAUUAACUAAUUAAGAAAACAAACAGAAAUAUAACAAAACUUGCUUUAAAAUCGUUAACAAAAAAAGGAAACAUCAUAUUUAAGCAAGAUCUUUGGAGCCAAAAUCUUUUUUUCAUAUCUUUUAUUUAAUUUUCCAAAUCUUAAGAAUUAAAUCCAGUGGCAUUCCAUUGUAAAUAGUAGUGAAAGCCAGGAUUUAUUUCAUAAUUGUAUUCAAAAAUGUAUAUAUAGAUAUUAUUAAAAUAGACAUUCAAAUAUCUUUUAAUUAUUUUAAUUUAGUUGGCAUAAUUAUAGAUUUCACGUAGUUUUGGAAUAGUUAUACUAUUAAUCCGUUUAGUUAUGGAAAUUUUAUUAAUUAUAUUGAUUUUUGUAUUGGAAUAUUCCCCUAUAUUUCCGAAAAAUAUAUAUAUACAUAUAUGAUAUAUUAGUUUUGAUUGUGUCAGUGGAAUAUACUACUUUCAAAUUAUUUUGUACCUUCUUACUAUUUUUUUUUGUUAAAUUUUUUAAUGCAAUUAUUUUACUGGCAUUCUAUGUAAUAUUCUACAACUAAAAGGUUUUUUAGUUUUUAGUGAUUCUCAAUUAAUAGUAUAGAUUAUGACAAAAAAAAUCCCAUAUUAAAAGAAAAAACUAGUUGUUUGAAAAGAUAAAAGAAAAUGACUUUGGAUUGUGAUUUAAAUCAUGCCUGAAAAAUUUUAUUUUAUCAAAUUUGUGAUUUAAAUUUUGUAAACCGGUUUUUGAUAUUGAUCAGUGUUAGCGUUUUUUAGCGGUAGGGCUUGAUUGGUUCUCGCGCUAGCACCCGCCUAGCGGUUGUUAGCGGUUGGUUGCGGUUGUUAGCGGUUGGUACCAAUCACAGAAACCGUUCUAUACCGCUUCGAGCCGCUCGAAAUCAUUGGAUUUCAAAAACUCCUUCUCGCAAGCGUUUGCGGUUGCGGGUGGUAGCGGUUGGAUAUAUAAAAAAAAAAUCAAACGUUUACUUAUUAUUAUUAUAAUAUAUAUUAAUCUUAUACACUAUAUAUCUUUCAUCUUUGUAUCACGUUCUCAACAAAAAAAACCCUAAUCAAUAUUUUGAAACCCUGUUCUCUCAAUUAUGUCUUCAAUCCAAACGAUGAAAAUCAAGAACCCAAAGAAGAACCCAAAGAAGAACCCAAAAUCAGAUUUCUAAGUGGUGCUCAAAGGAAAAAUAUUCUUAAGAAUAUUAACGACUGGUUUGGAAUUGUUUUGAAUUGGAACUGUGUUAAAAAAUCGUUUGGAUACCUUGAAAAAACUCUAUAAUAUUUAUAAAAGAAAUCCAGAAAAUUAGCGAAUUUAAUAUUAUUUGCAGUUUAUCCCAUUACUUGAUGCAAUUUUUUUGUGUUAAACCAGAUACAUAAAGUACUAUCUUGUUACAAAAUUUCUAUAUUUUUGAAUAAUUAUUUAGUACUUUAUUUAUGGUUUUAAUUAGUAAGCAUGUUCAAUAUUUCUAAUAUUAUCAUAAUUAUAUUAGUAUUUUUAUUUCUUCCUUAGAAAUAUUUUUUAUUUAUUUUGGUUAUUUUUUAUUUAACAGCUACUGCACCAUCCGGUUUAUCAUUCAUAAUGCUCUAGCAAACGUAGCCAUUUUCAAACGUUAAACCAGUCGUUUAAAACGUUUGGUAACGCUUGAACCUGCAACCGCCCGCUUCCGCAAACUCCCACAACCGCAAUCGCAUCCGCUGCAUUUAAACCAGUCAGGACCUAAAUUGGAACUGGGCUAGAUGGGCUAUCCCGGUAGAACCGGUCCGAUUGACCGAUCUGGUCCUGUCUGGUUAUCAAACACUGCAAUUACCGCAUCUUGUGUUGUAAACCGGACCGACCAUGAAUUCACUUUGAUCCUAAAAUGUCAAUCAAUGCUAAUUUUUUAAGGAAUUAAAUCUCUCUAGCCCCUUUUCCUCCAAACAUUCUUUCAAAAACCCUCACUUAUUCUCACUACCCCUCUCCUUCCCAAUACAUUUAAAAACCAACUAUACCCUUGCCUUUUAUCCAAUUUAUUUCUACAUUAAAUUUUAUUACCAACAAAUUCUUAAAAGCAACCAAUCAUAUUCAUUCUCUCUCCUCUCUCAUUAACUACCAAAAACCUUAAAAAAUUAGAUUAUUCUUCUUCUUCUUACGACAUAUUUCCUCUCCUCUCUUCUUCUUCUUCUUCUUUUUUUUUCUUCUCCAUCUCCAAAGACAUAUCUCAUCUCUUCUUCUUCUUCUCCAUCAAAAAACUUUUAAAAAAAUCAAAUUCUUCUUCUUCUUACGAUUCAAGCAUCUUCAAUGACAUAUUUCCUCUCUAUUUCUUUUUCUCCAUCCACCAUUAAAGCUCGUUGUUUACUUCUUCUUCUCUAUCCACUAGUAAGUAUACUUAUUUUUUUAGUGAAUUAUGAUUGAGAAAAGUUGAAUUCGUAGCUUGAAUGCAGUUUUUGGUAGAAAAAAUUGGGAAUUGUAGAUUUAGAACAACUGAAACCAUUAGGUACAACUAAGUAUAAUAUUACCGAAACCCUAAAUUUGGUGCAAUUGGGACAAAUGAGUACAACUAUGUUGAUGGACUGCUACGAAAAAUAUAAAAUUAUAGACCAUUUUCUUUCUCUCUUUCUUUUUCAGGGACAAUAAAAAAGAAUUCAGUCAUGCGCUUUAAUUUGCUUGUGCUUAUGCUUUGGAGAACAUAGAAGAAAAUGAGGUAAGAAGAGGUCGAAGAGGCCGAGUAGUUUAAGCGAGUGGUUUACCAAUGAUGGUAACAAUGAUGGUGACGUUGAUGGGACGAUGAGGGUGACCAAGGUUGAUUUCUAAGUGCCAUUAUUAGGAUGAUUUAAGAAGCGAUGUUGUUUGUAUUGGUUUUGUUUGUGAAACUUACUUGUUCUGUUUCGUACAACUAAGUUUUAACAGAUACAACUCUGGUUGAUUUUUUUAUCGUAUCUAUACAAAUUAAAUUGUUUUGUCUUGGUACAACUAAGUACAACCUGUACAACUAAGGUCUAUUGCCUUGGCUAGUUUUCAGAGUUUUAUAUAAUAUGAAAAUUUAAAACCAAAUAAAAAAAUCUUAAAAAAUGCAUACUCGGUGGUAAUGAAACUACACAAGAAGUUUUUGACAAAAAAAUUCAUAUUUUCCUAAAUUAGUGAAAUUCUUAUCACAAAAUCUCACAUUCAUACACUAACAACCUUAUACUUCCAUUGUUACUUUGUAGAUUUGAACUAAAAAAUUUUAAAUUUUUGAAAUACUUGUAUUUUGAUAAAUAUAACUACACUCAUACAAAGAAAUGGUAUUUUUGAUGAGACAAUACCAUCGGUUCCACCCACAAAAAUUAAUUUAGAGUUGAUAACAACUAGAUUUACUAAAUUCUCGAUAUUGUACAACUAUGAGCAAAAAUGUGCAACCGAGUACAACUGUACAACUAUGAACAAAUUUUAGAUAUUUAUGUUAGAUAUUUCUCAGAUAUUUUUAGAUAUUUGUAGAUAUUUCUUUUAUUUUUUAUUUUAAUCAAAAUACUUAGAUUCACAAAAAAAAAAAAAAAGUAAAAUACUUUUUUUUUCAACACUAUAUAUUUUUUAACAUACUUAGUAGAUUCAUAGUGUUGUUGUGAAUUUUUUGAUCAAAACACUUUGACUCAUAGUUUUUUGGUGAUUUUUCUGUCAAAAAAACUUAGAUUCAUACAAACCCAGAUACAUAGUUGUACAUAAGUGUACCAGUUGUACCUAAACACUUAGAUUCAUGAAUAACAUUAGAAACCAAAACACAUCUGAACACACCAAGUCUUCUUCUGCUUCUUCUUCUCCUUAUCCUUCUCUUUCUCCUUCUCCUUCUCAGUCUCAGUCUCAGUCUCCUUUUCUUUUUCUUCCUCUCGUAAUAGAGAAACAAAUGUUAUAGGCUAAUAUAUACGUACAAAAAAUUUCAUCUAUGUCUGCAAUCCACUCCUUAUUAACUUACUUGAAACCAGAUUUCUUCCAAAAUUGACCAAGAGAAAUCAAUCAUUUUAAGAAGAGUUUACAAACAAAGUUACAACUUUCACUCAAUAUCUCCAAAUAAAAACAAGAAAAAGUAGCUACAUGUCGUCCGAAUUUCAAACCCGAAUUGUAAUUCAAAUCCUAUUAGUAAUCUUAAAAUCCGAACUGUAAUCAUAAAAAAUCCUAAUUGUAAUCGAAAUUCCAUUCAAAAUGCAUUUGUUUCAAACAAAAUCAAAGAGAAUUACAUAUCAAACCCUCACAGAGAAGAAUAAAUUGGAAGAAAUCAAAUCCUAAUUAAACCCAACACAAUAAAACAAAAUUAGGGAUCAAACAAAUGAAAUCUUAUAAAGAGAAGACACGGCGGAGUUCUCACGGCGGAUUUCUCGAUUUCACUGCGAAUUUCUCACGAAGAAGAAGAGAGAGGACGGAUCUUUGGAUCGAUAGAAACGAGUGAAGAGGGAAGAUGAAAAAGAUGAAUGAGUAUCGAUGGAAUCGAGAAAAGAGAGAAAAAAAAAGAAGAAAGAAAAAGAAGAAAAGAGAUUGAAAGCUUUGUGUUUGUCGGAUUGUUGACUCGAGACAGAGAGAAACGAAGAAGAUGAAAAAGUCGU
rnacentral:lncRNA from 1 species